rnacentral:rRNA from 1 species
CUACGGGGUGCUGCAGUGGGGAAUAUUGCACAAUGGGCGCAAGCCUGAUGCAGCCAUGCCGCGUGUAUGAAGAAGGCCUUCGGGUUGUAAAGUACUUUCAGCGGGGAGGAAGGGAGUAAAGUUAAUACCUUUGCUCAUUGACGUUACCCGCAGAAGAAGCACCGGCUAACUCCGUGCCAGCAGCCGCGGUAAUACGGAGGGUGCAAGCGUUAAUCGGAAUUACUGGGCGUAAAGCGCACAGCAGGCGGUUUGUUAAGUCAGAUGUGAAAUCCCCGGGCUCAACCUGGGAACUGCAUCUGAUACUGGCAAGCUAGAGUCUCGUAGAGGGGGGUAGAAUUCCAGGUGUAGCGGUGAAAUGCGUAGAGAUCUGGAGGAAUACCGGUGGCGAAGGCGGCCCCCUGGACGAAGACUGACGCUCAGGUGCGAAAGCGUGGGGAGCAAACAGGAUUAGAUACCCUCGUAGUC